UACGUAGGGACCAAGCGUUGUUCGGAUUUACUGGGCGUAAAGGGCGCGUAGGCGGCAAUUCAAGUCAUCUGUGAAAUCUCCGGGCUUAACUCGGAACGGUCAGGUGAUACUGUUUUGCUAGAGUGCGGAAGGGGCAAUCGGAAUUCUUGGUGUAGCGGUGAAAUGCGUAGAUAUCAGGAGGAACACCAAUAGCGAAGGCAGCUCGCUGGGACGGUACUGACGCUAAGGCGCGAAAGCGUGGGGAGCGAACAGG
rnacentral:rRNA from 1 species